rnacentral:sRNA from 1 species
GAACAAAUGUUUUCUAGAAGCUAUGUGUGCAAGUACAUUGCACAAUGCUAUAAUUAAUGUACCUAUGCGUGGACUCAAUUAAAAUGAAGAAUUGGAUAAUCUCAUCAAAAUGAACAAAAGCUUGAAUAGAGCCAAAAGCCUUGAAAGUCUUAUCUAUAUGAGUACCCGGACAGAUAAAGAUGGCAAAGGAACCCAAAGCCUUGGAAGUCCGAUUAAAGUUAAUCAAGGGACUGACAAAAAUGAGAAAGGGGGCCAGAGCCUUGAUAAUCUCAUCAAAGUGACCCCUGAAGUAAACAGAAGUAACCAAGGUUCCAAAGACCUUAAUAACUUCAUCAAAGUGAAUCCAGGAACAGAAAAAAGUACUCAAGGGGGCCAAAGUCUUGACAGCCUCAUUAAAGUAACUCCUGAAAGAAACAGAACUAACCAAGGGAACCAAGACUUGGAAAAUCUUAUCAAAGUGAUCCCUUCAGCAAACAAAAGCAGUGAACAAGGUCUUGAUGAACAUGUUAAUGUCAGCCCCAAAGCUGUCAAAAACACUGAUAGAAAACAAGAUCUUGAUAAACUCAUCAAAGUGAAUCCUGAAAUU